rnacentral:lncRNA from 1 species
GGAAUGCUGCAUUGAACAUGGAGUACUGGUAUCUCUUUGAUACAAUAAUUUUAUUUUCUUUGGAUAUAUGUCCAGAAGUGGUAUUGUUGAAUUAUAUGGUAGUUCUAUUUUUAGUUUUUUGAGGAACCUCCAAAUUGUCUUCCAUAAUGGUUUUACCAAUUUUACAUCCCCACCAAUAAUGUAUAAGAAUUAUCUCACAAACACUUGUUACUUUUUGAUGUUCUGAUUAUAGCCAUCCUAAUAGGUGUGAGGUGGUAUCUCAUUAUAGAUUUUAUAGUAUUUCUCUGAUGAUUACAGCAAAGCACCUCUUCAUAUAUGUUGGCUAUUUGUAUAUCUUCUUUGGGAAAUGUCUGUUCAGGUCCUCUGCCUGUUUUAAAAAAAAUAGUUGUUUUUCACUAUUCACUAUUGAGUUGUAUAAGUUUCUUAUAUAUUUUGGAUACUGACCUUUUUUAAAAAUAUAUAUUUUUUUUUGUGGUUCUGGGGAUUGAACCCAAGCAUGCUGUACCACUGAGCUACAUCCCCAGGUUUUUUUUUUUUUUUUUUAACACAGGGUCUUUUCUAAGUUGCUUAGCCUGGUCUUGAACUUGUGAUACUCCUGCCUCAACAUCCUGAGUUGCUGGGAUUACAGAUGUGUGCUACCACACCUGGCUGAUUAUUAACUGACAUAUGGUUUGCCAACAUUUUCUCCCCUUCUGUAGGUUGUAUCUUCAUUUUGUUGAUUGUUUCUUUCCCUAUAUAGAUGCUUCUUGGUUUGAUAUAGUCCCACUUGUCUUUUUUUGCUUUUGUUCACAUAUCAAAAAAAAAAAAAAAAUCAUUGUCAAGAUUAAUGUCAUGGAGCUUUCCCCCUAUGUUUCUUCUGAGAUUUUCACCAUUUCAUAUUUUACAUUUAAGUCUUUAAUCCAUUUUAAGUGGAUACUGUGUAAAAUGUAAGGUUAGGAUCCAAUUUCA